rnacentral:rRNA from 1 species
AUUGAACGCUGGCGGCAUGCCUUACACAUGCAAGUCGAACGGCAGCACGGGAGCAAUCCUGGUGGCGAGUGGCGAACGGGUGAGUAAUGUAUCGGAACGUGCCCAGUAGUGGGGGAUAACUGCUCGAAGGAGCAGCUAAUACCGCAUACGACCUGAGGGUGAAAGGGGGGGAUCGCAAGACCUCUCGCUAUUGGAGCGGCCGAUAUCAGAUUAGCUAGUUGGUGGGGUAAAGGCCUACCAAGGCAACGAUCUGUAGUUGGUCUGAGAGGACGACCAGCCACACUGGGACUGAGACACGGCCCAGACUCCUACGGGAGGCAGCAGUGGGGAAUUUUGGACAAUGGGCGCAAGCCUGAUCCAGCAAUGCCGCGUGCAGGAAGAAGGCCUUCGGGUUGUAAACUGCUUUUGUCAGGGAAGAAAUCCUCUAGGUUAAUACCCUUGGGGGGAUGACGGUACCUGAAGAAUAAGCACCGGCUAACUACGUGCAGCCGCCGCCGUAACAC